UACAGAGGGGCAAGCGUUGUUCGGAAUUACUGGGCGUAAAGGGCGCGUAGGCGGAUGGCAAGUCAGUCGUGAAAUCUCUCGGCUCAACCGAGAAACGUCGGCUGAUACUGCCGUUCUUGAGGGAUGCAGAGGAGACUGGAAUUCCCGGUGUAGCGGUGAAAUGUGUAGAUAUCAGAGGAACACCGAUGGCGAAGGCAGGUCUCUGGGCUGACACUGACGCUCGAUGCACGAAAGCGUGGGAGCGAACAGG
rnacentral:rRNA from 1 species